rnacentral:rRNA from 1 species
GACGUAGGGGGCGAGCGUUGUCCGGAAUCAUUGGGCGUAAAGAGCGCGUAGGCGGCCCGGAAAGUGGGGUGUGAAAACUCGGGGCUCAACUCCGAGCUUGCAGUGGGUACGGGCAGACUAGAGUGCGGUAGGGGAGACUGGAAUUCCUGGUGUAGCGGUGGAAUGCGCAGAUAUCAGGAGGAACACCGGUGGCGAAGGCGGGUCUCUGGGCCGUAACUGACGCUGAGAAGCGAAAGCAUGGGGAGCGAACAGG